rnacentral:misc_RNA from 1 species
ACAUUAUGCUUUCUUGAACAGGUACCUUGUCAUAGUGCAUAUUUAAAUGAUGCCACAAGCUCCAAAUUGGAUGAUCCUUUUGUACACGCAAAUUUCGCGUCCUAUGAAAAUUGAAAGAUAAAAAUAGAGUAAAAAUUUAUAUUUAAUAAAAUUUAUAGAUGCAAUCUCUAGUAUUGAUUUUUCUUGUAUUACGAAGGUAUAAUCUCUGAUUCUUCUGAUUUGCAAAAACAUGAUCCAAGGGUCGAAUAGACUUAAUCUUGAAUCAACAUUGAAACCUUCUGCUCUUUGAUGGAGAAGAAGAAUGUUGAUCUUGGAACUUGAAUUUGAAACUUUGAUUGUCUUCUUGUUGAUGGAGAAGGCCUUGAUAUUUGAAGAGAACUUCACGAUUUGAAUUCUGCAGAACUUCUCAGAUUGUGCAUGGGAAAGCCCCUCUAUUUACAGACGCUUUCAAAAGGUCCUCCAAUUUCUGUAGAAUUCCUCUUUUAAUUUAAGUGGUCCAUUUGACACAAUUUAACUGGACCUGGUUGCAUCUUCACUUAUCUUUAAAGAUAAGUUAUAAAUAGUUAACAAUUAAAU